GAGGGAAAGAUUUUGGUGGCUAAUGACUUUUAUGGAACCCUAACUUGGGAUGAUUUAAUUCCAGGUAUCUUUAUGAAACUUAGCAUUUAAAAAAGACAAAUGGAGAGUUAGAUAAGGAGAGAGAAGCAUUUCUUAUUUAUUUAAAGAUUCCAAAUACAACUCUUCAUAAGAUAUGAAUGAUUCGUCUUGGCUCCCUUAACGCACAUCCUGGACACAUGGCCAAGAAACUGCUUCCUUCAAUCACCAUGACAGAGUGCCUCGUGUAACAAUGUUCUGCACCUUCCCCUCCCUUCCCCUACCGACACCCAUCCUCACACAUGCUCCUCCCUGCCCCUGACACUGACAACCUAGCAAUCACUAGGAGAAAAGCCUGGCAUGUGUGGGAGCCACCCUCAGAGAAGCUGUCCCGAAAGAGAGGUGCUAACUAGGUGAAGACAUAUGACUUUCUGAGCACUAUUUCUUAAUACUAAUGGAGGGAGAUUGUGGCAAGGAGCCAGGAAACAGAAAAGGCAUGAAAAGAAGAACUAAUUUGGAGCUGGCGGGAUCGGUGAUAAUGAAACCUACCUUGCUGUUUCACGUUGAGGAAUCACUGCGGGAAGGGUUGAUUUUGGCAGCAGGAGCCUGUACACUGUGCUAAUUCUCCAUCUCAGGAAGAAACAGAAUCAUGAAGUCUAAAGAAACUGAGGUACUAUUCAGCUUUCUGUCCUAGGUAUCACUCUCCUAUGAUUGUCCAAAUAAGAUGUCAUUUGGGCCGGGCACCGUGGCUCACACCUGUAGUCCCAGCACUUUGGGAGGCCAAGGUUGGUAGAUCACAAGGUCAGG